AGUGAACGCUGGCGGUAGGCCUAACACAUGCCAGUCGAACGGCAGCACAGUAAGAGCUUGCUCUUACGGGUGGCGAGUGGCGGACGGGUGAGGAAUAAAUCGGAAUCUACUUUUUCGUGGGGGAUAACGUAGGGAAACUUACGCUAAUACCGCAUACGACCUACGGGUGAAAGCAGGGGAUCUUCGGACCUUGCGCGAAUGAAUGCGCCGAUGUCGGACUAGCUAGUUGGCGGGGUAAAGGCCCACCAAGUCGACGAUCCGUAGCUGGUCUGAGAGGAUGAUCAGCCACACUGGAACUGAGACACGGUCCAGGCUACUACGGGAGGCACCAGUGGGGAAUAUUAGACAAUGGUCGCAAGCCUGAUCCAGCCAUACCGCGUGGGUGAAGAAGGCCUUCGGGUUGUAAAGCCCUUUUGUUGGGAAAGAAAAGCAGCAGGUUAAUACCCCGCUGUUCUGACGGUACCCAAAGAAUAAGCACCGGCUAACUUCGUG
rnacentral:rRNA from 1 species